rnacentral:rRNA from 1 species
AUUGAACACUGGCGGCAUGCCUUACACAUGCAAGUCGAACGGUAACAGGUCUUCGGAUGCUGACGAGUGGCGAACGGGUGAGUAAUACAUCGGAACGUGCCUAGUAGUGGGGGAUAACUACUCGAAAGAGUGGCUAAUACCGCAUGAGAUCUACGGAUGAAAGCAGGGGAUCGCAAGACCUUGUGCUACUAGAGCGGCCGAUGGCAGAUUAGGUAGUUGGUGGGAUAAAAGCUUACCAAGCAGACGAUCUGUAGCUGGUCUGAGAGGACGAUCAGCCACACUGGGACUGAGACACGGCCCAGACUCCUACGGGAGGCAGCAGUGGGGAAUUUUGGACAAUGGGCGCAAGCCUGAUCCAGCAAUGCCGCGUGAAGGAUGAAGGCCUUCGGGUUGUAAACUGCUUUUGUACGGAACGAAAAGCCCUGGGUUAAUACCCUGGGGUCAUGACGGUACCGUAAGAAUAAGCACCGGCUAACUACGUGCCAGCCGCCGCCGUAAUAC